AGACGUAGGGCGCGAGCGUUGUCCGGAUUUAUUGGGCGUAAAGAGCUCGUAGGCGGCUUGUUGCGUCAGCUGUGAAAGCCCAUGGCUUAACUGUGGGUUGGCAGCUGAUACGGGCAGGCUAGAGUUCGGUAGGGGAGACUGGAAUUCCUGGUGUAGCGGUGAAAUGCGCAGAUAUCAGGAGGAACACCGGUGGCGAAGGCGGGUCUCUGGGCCGAUACUGACGCUGAGGAGCGAAAGCGUGGGGAGCGAACAGGAUUAGAUACCCUGGUAGUCCACGCUGUAAACGUUGGGCGCUAGGUGUGGGGGGCCUCUCCGGUUUCCUGUGCCGUAGCUAACGCAUUAAGCGCCCCGCCUGGGGAGUACGGCCGCAAGGCUAAA
rnacentral:rRNA from 1 species